rnacentral:rRNA from 1 species
CCUACGGGAGGCAGCAGUAGGGAAUCUUUCACAAUGGGCGAAAGCCUGAUGGAGCAACGCCGCGUGGGUGAAGAAGGUCUUCGGAUCGUAAAACCCUGUUGUUAGAGAAGAAAGUGCGGGAGAGUAACUGUGCACGUAUCGACGGUAUCUAACCAGAAAGCCACGGCUAACUACGGGCCAGCAGCCGCGGUAAUACGUAGGUGGCAAGCGUUAUCCGGAUUUAUUGGGCGUACAGGGAACGCAGGCGGUCUUGUAAGUCUGAUGUGAAAGCCUUCGGCUUAACCGGAGUAGUGCAUUGGAAACUGGGAGCCUUGAUUGCAGAAGCGGAGAGUGGAACUCCAUGUGUAGCGGUGAAAUGCGUCGAUAUAUGGAAGAACACCAGUGGCGAAAGCGGCUCUCUGGUCUGUACCUGACGCUGAGGUUCGAAAGCGUGGGUAGCAAACAGGAUUAGAUACCCGUGUAGUC